GCCCAGGCAGGCGAUGGCUCCCAACAGCAAUGAGACGGCCUGACACGCUCGCCUUCCGAAACGUCCGAUGAGCGGUAAAGUGACCAGACGGGCGAGAAGCUCCACCAAGGCAAAGAUGAACUGCGUGAGCCUGCUCCUUCUUCCCCUGAGUCAUGAGCCAGCGAGCCGAUUCCGGCAGGAACCUGGUCAGUUGAAAUGCGGGUCAUUUACUAUUUAUUUGAAACCAGCAUGAUAUCGACGUGAAUCUCGGUAUCGGGUGGUGGUACCGACCAGAAUAAUACGGGCAGGAAAAUAAGAAGAGGCCCGUAGAGAGUCAGUUGGAGGAUCCUCCAAUCGUGGAUUAAAUAGGCAAGACCGGACAACGCGGCGAGACCGAUGGGGUAAAAACUGUGAUUGACGACGGUGCAGAAGGCAAACUUGGAUGACUCGCACCACUCGCCACCUUCAGGGAAGCGCAAGAAGAGAACCUUCAUUCAUGCCGCUUAUCCAGGGUCAGCUUGCUAGGGUACGGACUUCCACCUCCCGAGCCACUUCGUCCAGCUCUUCCGGGAGGAUUCCAGGAUGUUCUCUUGCCAGCCGCGAUAGAGAGUCUUUCCUGGGUCGCCCCCGGAAUCUCAUCUGAAUGGGACGUGCCCCGAAUACUGGACCAGGUAAUUGGGAGCCGACAAUAAAUGGUGAGGUUCGCCCACCGGUACCGUGGCGACCAUUCUCCAUCUCACCUCUGUCCCAAUAGUGGAGGUCCCAGGCGGUACCUCAAAUUCGGAGCCAUUGAGGCAGCUCGUGGUCUCGUUCAGGCCGUACAGCUCGAUGGUUUCCAAGGUCAGGUUGGCAUCCACCCGAUCCAGGAUCCAGUCGGUGUUGCAGUAGUUUGGGUAGUUAAAACCGACGAAAACCUGACUGAUGAUGUCGAAGGCGACGAAGAUGUUGGGGAUGCACAAGGCGGCCACCAGGCGCUUCUGGAAUAAACCGAACUCGCCGAUCUCCUUGAGGAUGUGCGUGAAGGUACUCAUGGUGUCGGGGAAAAAAAUUGUGAUGC